rnacentral:rRNA from 1 species
AGAUUGAACGCUGGCGGCAUGCCUUACACAUGCAAGUCGAACGGCAGCACGGGGGCAACCCUGGUGGCGAGUGGCGAACGGGUGAGUAAUGCAUCGGAACGUGCCCAGUAGUGGGGGAUAACUAGUCGAAAGAUUAGCUAAUACCGCAUACGACCUAUGGGUGAAAGCGGGGGAUUCGCAAGAACCUCGCGCUAUCGGAGCGGCCGAUGUCUGAUUAGCUAGUUGGCGGGUAAAAGCCCACCAAGGCUUCGAUCAGUAGCUGGUCUGAGAGGACGA